rnacentral:rRNA from 1 species
AGUGAACGCUGGCGGUAGGCCUAACACAUGCAAGUCGAACGGCAGCACAGUAAGAGCUUGCUCUUACGGGUGGCGAGUGGCGGACGGGUGAGGAAUACAUCGGAAUCUACUUUUUCGUGGGGGAUAACGUAGGGAAACUUACGCUAAUACCGCAUACGACCUACGGGUGAAAGCAGGGGAUCUUCGGACCUUGCGCGAUUGAAUGAGCCGAUGUCGGAUUAGCUAGUUGGCGGGGUAAAGGCCCACCAAGGCGACGAUCCGUAGCUGGUCUGAGAGGAUGUUCGGCCACCCGGAAACGGGAACACGGCCCAACCCCCUACGGGGGGCAGCGGUGGGGAUUUUUGGAAAAUGGGCGAAACCCUACUCCCGCCAACCCGGGGGGGUGAAGAAGGCCUUCGGGUUGUAACGCCUUUUUUUUGGGAAAAAAAAGCAGCAGGUUAAUCCCCCGCUGUUCUGCCGGUACCCAAAAAAUAAGCCCCGGCUACCUUCGU